rnacentral:rRNA from 1 species
UGGGGAAUAUUGGACAAUGGGGGCAACCCUGAUCCAGCCAUGCCGCGUGAGUGAUGAAGGCCUUCGGGUUGUAAAGCUCUUUUGGCGGGGACGAUGAUGACGGUACCCGCAGAAUAAGCCCCGGCUAACUUCGUGCCAGCAGCCGCGGUAAGACGAAGGGGGCUAGCGUUGUUCGGAAUUACUGGGCGUAAAGCGAGUGUAGGCGGUUGCCGUAGUCAGGUGUGAAAGCCUUGAGCUCAACUCAAGAAAUGCACUUGAUACUGGGUGACUAGAGGACCGGAGAGGAUAGUGGAAUUCCCAGUGUAGUGGUGAAAUACGUAGAGAUUGGGAAGAACACCAGUGGCGAAGGCGGCUAUCUGGACGGUUACUGACGCUAAGACUCGAAAGCGUGGGGAGCAAAACAGGAUUAGAUACCCUGGUAGUCCACGCCGUAAAACGAUGGGUGCUAGACGUUGGCGAGCUUGCUCGUCAGUGUCGCAGCUAACGCGUUAAGCACCCCGCCUGGGGGAGUAC